UAAAUCACACACAUAAAUUAUUUUAAUACUACUUAGGAUAGUAUUUUUGUAUCUAUCUAUGCUGAAAGCAUUUUUUAGUGUACAUACUUGAUCUAAGAAGUAAAAAUGUAAACAAGAAUGCACGUCAUUGUAAAAAAAGUAUUUUUAUAGAGCGUGACUUAUAAGUCUUAGGACAGCAACUUCAACUUAAUAUUUCUCCUAGACGAGUGAAUAUUUUUUUAAUUUUGUUUGCUGUAUAUGACUUACAAAACCUCCAUUUUUGUUUCUUGUCAAUAAAUUUUUUUCUAAAAAGUGCCCUUGAUCCCAUAACAAUGCUAUCAUGAAGCCGAAGUGUGUCAUCAUUUCACUUAAUUUGGAAGGAAAGAGCUGUAGGACCAUUACCUACAUUGUCUACGAAAGCGGGCCCCAGUGAGGGUCUAGGGUGUUAAAGUCAAUCAACGAGUCUAUUUGGAAUUAUUACAGUCCCAAGUACUGUCCAAGCCCCAAAGACGAGUCCUACUGCUUCCAGCAGGACGGAAUACCUUCAUAUAAUGGAAAGUUUGUGCAAAAGUGGUGCCAAACCACUUUCGAUCACUUUGGAAGGCACUAUAUGUGGCUCCCUUUUUCCCCAGAUAUCAACGUAAAGGACUUCUCCAAUAGUCUAUUCUGGAGAAAGAGGCUGGUAUGACUUUCUACUGCAGUUUCAAUGACAUGAAGGCCGCCAUAAUGUCUGCGUGGGAUAACCUGUCGUAGAAGACCAUUCGUACAGCCUGUAAAGCAGUUUUAAAGCGUCUAUAGUUGCUACAAAUGGCGGCUAUAGGGGAUGAACUUGCUCUCUUUUUGAUGGAAAUUUUACGCUGAUUGCAAUGAUGUAAAAAUAUGUUUCGGCAAAUAAAUAUUUGUGUACUUUCUUGGUA
rnacentral:lncRNA from 1 species